GCCAUGUCACAACGUUGAAACACCUGUUCCCUUACGAUUACCAAAGUUAAGCAACAUCAAGCCUUAUCAGUACCUAGAUGGGUGACCGCUUGGGAAUACCAGGUGCUGUAAU